UUAGUUUGUUUUAUUGUGAACAUUCUCAAAACUAUAUUUUUUUAUACUGAAAUUCUUCUGUUUUAUAUAUUGUGAAUUUUGUUUAAUGUGAAUGUAAUCAUUGUAUCUGUUGUAUAUAGUUCUUAUUUGUCUGUUGUAGCAGGGGGGGGGCUUUAAUUAAUGUAACACCCAUAGGACGCACAUGUGACGUACAGCAGACUCCUGGCAAAAGCUGGAGGACGCUUUUGCAGGAGACAGAGAGCGCCUGACGUUACAUGUGCUGACUGUGCCCUUUACUGCUUGUCUU